rnacentral:lncRNA from 1 species
GCUGGGACCUGUUCUCAAAAGUAAGAGGAGUUUGAUGCUGAGAAAGAUGGUAAGCUGAGGACUCUCCAAGAAGAGCUGUCUAUAGCAAUGACCUUGCCUCUGCCCCUGACUGUGAAGAGUUCUGCUAAUACUCCUGCUCCUAUCUCAUCCUACUCUGUCUCUUGGUCCAACAUGUUCUCUUGGGCAGCCACUCAGUCAAGAUGGUGACAUACCCUAACCAGGCCCACAAGAGCCUAUUUGACUCACACUCGGCAUGCAGGCUCAGUUCUGUCAGGAAGCCCACUUAAGGACCUUCAACUUUCCUCUCCUGACUAUCUCCAGGCAGGGGUGUUACUCCAUCACAUGCUGACCUGUUUCCUGCCAGACUCUCACCCUUACCACCAGGACCUAGCCUAUGCAGCUCUUGACCUCUCUCUUCUAGGCACAAAAAUCCUCAUCAGGCCUCGAGGUACAAAGCCUGUGAUUCCAGAACUCAGGAAGGUGAGGCAGAAGGAUGGCAAAUUUGAGGCCAGCCUUACCUAUGAGACUCCG